rnacentral:sRNA from 1 species
GCUUCCGUCCUCCUGGUCACGAUUCGGGCCGGCGCCGGGGACCAGCUCCCGAAGGUGGCCUCGUUGCCUUGGUCCCCGAGCGUC